UACAGAGGGGGCAAGCGUUGUUCGGAAUUACUGGGCGUAGAGGGCGCGUAGGCGGCCUGUUAAGUCGAACGUGAAAUCCCCGGGCUCAACCCGGGAACUGCGUCCGAUACUGGCAGGCUUGAAUCCGGGAGAGGGAUGUGGAAUUCCAGGCGUAGCGGUGAAAUGCGUAGAUAUCUGGAGGAACACCGGUGGCGAAGGCGGCAUCCUGGACCGGUAUUGACGCUGAGGCGCGAAAGCCAGGGGAGCAAACGGG
rnacentral:rRNA from 1 species